UGAAGACUGAAGUUGUUCUUAUUCCUGCCAGGACAGGUAGAAUUUCCACAUCAACAAAAUCGAAGCUGCUCAGGAGGAACAACUGCUGUUUGCUCUCCAUAAACUGCUGGUGUUCAGUCUGCAUGCACAGUUCUGUCAGAGGACUUGAAUGGGACUGCAAGGUGAGAGGAAGCAGCAGAGCUGGGAACAGCACACAGAUGUCCAGAGUCAACUCAAGGAACUCCAGACAAACACAGCAAGACAACCACCAGCACAGUGACACAGGGCAGACCCUAAUGGUGAGACACCCCCUGCUCUUGAACAGCGC
rnacentral:lncRNA from 14 species